rnacentral:rRNA from 1 species
AGAGUUUGAUCCUGGCUCAGGAUGAACGCUAGCUACAGGCUUAACACAUGCAAGUCGAGGGGCAGCAUGGUCUUAGCUUGCUAAGGCCGAUGGCGACCGGCGCACGGGUGAGUAACACGUAUCCAACCUGCCGUCUACUCUUGGACAGCCUUCUGAAAGGAAGAUUAAUACAAGAUGGCAUCAUGAGUCCGCAUGUUCACAUGAUUAAAGGUAUUCCGGUAGACGAUGGGGAUGCGUUCCAUUAGAUAGUAGGCGGGGUAACGGCCCACCUAGUCUUCGAUGGAUAGGGGUUCUGAGAGGAAGGUCCCCCACAUUGGAACUGAGACACGGUCCAAACUCCUACGGGAGGCAGCAGUGAGGAAUAUUGGUCAAUGGGCGAGAGCCUGAACCAGCCAAGUAGCGUGAAGGAUGACUGCCCUAUGGGUUGUAAACUUCUUUUAUAAAGGAAUAAAGUCGGGUAUGGAUACCCGUUUGCAUGUACUUUAUGAAUAAGGAUCGGCUAACUCCGUGCCAGCAGCCGCGGUAAUACGGAGGAUCCGAGCGUUAUCCGGAUUUAUUGGGUUUAAAGGGAGCGUAGAUGGAUGUUUAAGUCAGUUGUGAAAGUUUGCGGCUCAACCGUAAAAUUGCAGUUGAUACUGGAUAUCUUGAGUGCAGUUGAGGCAGGCGGAAUUCGUGGUGUAGCGGUGAAAUGCUUAGAUAUCACGAAGAACUCCGAUUGCGAAGGCAGCCUGCUAAGCUGCAACUGACAUUGAGGCUCGAAAGUGUGGGUAUCAAACAGGAUUAGAUACCCUGGUAGUCCACACGGUAAACGAUGAAUACUCGCUGUUUGCGAUAUACUGCAAGCGGCCAAGCGAAAGCGUUAAGUAUUCCACCUGGGGAGUACGCCGGCAACGGUGAAACUCAAAGGAAUUGACGGGGGCCCGCACAAGCGGAGGAACAUGUGGUUUAAUUCGAUGAUACGCGAGGAACCUUACCCGGGCUUAAAUUGCAGAUGAAUUACGGUGAAAGCCGUAAGCCGCAAGGCAUCUGUGAAGGUGCUGCAUGGUUGUCGUCAGCUCGUGCCGUGAGGUGUCGGCUUAAGUGCCAUAACGAGCGCAACCCUUGUUGUCAGUUACUAACAGGUUCUGCUGAGGACUCUGACAAGACUGCCAUCGUAAGAUGUGAGGAAGGUGGGGAUGACGUCAAAUCAGCACGGCCCUUACGUCCGGGGCUACACACGUGUUACAAUGGGGGGUACAGAGGGCCGCUACCACGCGAGUGGAUGCCAAUCCCAAAAACCUCUCUCAGUUCGGACUGGAGUCUGCAACCCGACUCCACGAAGCUGGAUUCGCUAGUAAUCGCGCAUCAGCCACGGCGCGGUGAAUACGUUCCCGGGCCUUGUACACACCGCCCGUCAAGCCAUGGGAGCCGGGGGUACCUGAAGUGCGUAACCGCGAGGAGCGCCCUAGGGUAAAACUGGUGACUGGGGCUAAGUCGUAACAAGGUAACCG